GGGGGAUCUGGAGCCUUCAAUAAAUCCUGCAGUGAGACUAUUGGGCCGAUCUUGAUGACCUAAUUUUGCUGAUGUUUACCAGAAUUGGCUGUGCACAGCUUCAGAUUCCCAGGCUGGGAAAUGUACUCAGGAUACUCCUGACUCAGCAGAAUUCCCAAUUCCUG